rnacentral:tRNA from 2 species
GGCGUGGUGGCAGAGUGGUCUAAUGCGCUAGACUUGAAAUCUAGUUCCUUCGGGAGCGCCUGUUCGAACCAGGCCCACGUCG